rnacentral:lncRNA from 10 species
GCUCCAAAGACCCUUGGGCUGACAGAGCAGGUUCUCAUUUCUCAGCUCUUUCCCUUAUCACUUGCAGUGAACUCUGCCCCCAGGAGCAGAGUAUCCAGUUCUGUGUCCAAGCACUCUAUGAAUCUUUACCCUUGUUGAAGAAAUACUCAGAGACAGAAGCAUUUAGAAAAGGAAAAGUUUACCUGCAAAGAGAGCAAGAGAAUGACUGGCUUGCCUAAUAAAAAACGGUGCAACGUCUUUCUUUUCUGAUGGUGAUUGAUAUAGUUUGGCUGUGUCCCCACCCAAAUCUCAUCUUGAAUUCCCAUGUGUUGUUGGAGGGACCUGGUGGGAGGUAACUAAAUCAUGGGGGCAAGUCUUUCCCGUGCUGUUCUUGUGAUAGUGAGGAAGUCUCACGAGAUCUUUUGGUUAUUAUAAGAGGGAGUUUUCCUGCACAAGCCCUCAUUUUGCCUGCUGCCAUCUAUAUAAGAUGUGAUUUGCUGCUCCUUGCCUUCCGCCAUGAUUGUGAAGCCUCCCCAGCCAUGUGGAACUGUAAGUCCAAUAAACCUCUUUUGUAAAUU